rnacentral:rRNA from 1 species
CGCGGCCUAUCAGCUUGUUGGCGGGGUAAUGGCCCACCAAGGCGACGACGGGUAGCCGGCCUGAGAGGGCGACCGGCCACACUGGAACUGAGACACGGUCCAGACUCCUACGGGAGGCAGCAGUGGGGAAUAUUGCACAAUGGGCGAAAGCCUGAUGCAGCGACGCCGCGUGGGGGAUGAAGGCCUUCGGGUUGUAAACCCCUUUCAGCAGGGAAGAAGCGAAAGUGACGGUACCUGCAGAAGAAGCGCCGGCUAACUACGUGCCAGCAGCCGCGGUAAUACGUAGGGCGCAAGCGUUGUCCGGAAUUAUUGGGCGUAAAGAGUUCGUAGGCGGUUUGUCGCGUCUGCUGUGAAAUCCCGAGGCUCAACCUCGGGACUGCAGUGGGUACGGGCAAACUAGAGUGUGGUAGGGGAAACUGGAAUUCCUGGUGUAGCGGUGGAAUGCGCAGAUAUCAGGAGGAACACCGAUGGCGAAGGCAGGUUUCUGGGCCACAACUGACGCUGAGGAACGAAAGCAUGGGGAGCGAACAGGAUUAGAUACCCUGGUGGUCCAUGCCGUAAACGGUGGGCACUAGAUGUGGGGGCCAUUCCAUGGUUUCCGCGUCGCAGCUAACGCAUUAAGUGCCCCGCCUGGGGAGUACGG